rnacentral:rRNA from 1 species
CGGGACACGUGGUAUCCUGUCUGAAUAUGGGGGGACCAUCCUCCAAGGCUAAAUACUCCUGACUGACCGAUAGUGAACCAGUACCGUGAGGGAAAGGCGAAAAGAACCCCGGCGAGGGGAGUGAAAAAGAACCUGAAACCGUGUACGUACAAGCAGUGGGAGCACGCUUAGGCGUGUGACUGCGUACCUUUUGUAUAAUGGGUCAGCGACUUAUAUUCUGUAGCAAGGUUAACCGAAUAGGGGAGCCGAAGGGAAACCGAGUCUUAACUGGGCGUUAAGUUGCAGGGUAUAGACCCGAAACCCGGUGAUCUAGCCAUGGGCAGGUUGAAGGUUGGGUAACACUAACUGGAGGACCGAACCGACUAAUGUUGAAAAAUUAGCGGAUGACUUGUGGCUGGGGGUGAAAGGCCAAUCAAACCGGGAGAUAGCUGGUUCUCCCCGAAAGCUAUUUAGGUAGCGCCUCGUGAAUUCAUCUCCGGGGGUAGAGCACUGUUUCGGCAAGGGGGUCAUCCCGACUUACCAACCCGAUGCAAACUGCGAAUACCGGAGAAUGUUAUCACGGGAGACACACGGCGGGUGCUAACGUCCGUCGUGAAGAGGGAAACAACCCAGACCGCCAGCUAAGGUCCCAAAGUCAUGGUUAAGUGGGAAACGAUGUGGGAAGGCCCAGACAGCCAGGAUGUUGGCUUAGAAGCAGCCAUCAUUUAAAGAAAGCGUAAUAGCUCACUGGUCGAGUCGGCCUGCGCGGAAGAUGUAACGGGGCUAA